UCGAAAACCCACUUCCAAUAUCAACAAAAACACUCAUGGUCCCUUCUUCCCCAACACCCACACAAACCAAUCAACCAUCUUCUUAUCGGAACAACCAUACACCACCCUUUAACCACCUAACACCGCUCACCACUUCAGACGAACAAAACAAACCACCUAACACCACUCACCCUAACUAAUAUUAGUUCGUUUACACAGGCUAAAAAGUGGGUUCAAGAGCCUUAGAAACAAGGUGGUGAUGGUGGUCGAUGAUGUCCGGUUGAUAGUUCGGAGUCUUGUUUGAAGUCACCGAAGAAGUUUAUAGUAGAGGUGGAGCCGUAGCUUAUGGUAAAAGACAUAUAUUUUCCAGCACCGGUUGCCGAUUUGGAGUCGUGUUGGGAUAUUUUCCGGUGAGUGCUUGUUGUUUAGAUCUAGAUCUUUGAUUGCUUCAUGAUUCGAUCACCUCUGUCAAUUUACGGAUUGCAAUCGUAUUGGGAUAUUUUCCGGUGACCUGCAAGGUUCAUAAUCUCACUUAUAGCAGAUCUUGGUGCUUGAUCCUCAUUCUCUUCCAUUACCUCAAGCGCUACGUUAUAUGAAAAAAAUGUCAUCAACGUUGAUAUUGUCUCGGUUCCAUACAUUUCUUAACACGAUAUAAUUAUUAAGAUCUCUUUGUUUUUAGGUUCAUCUUGAACCAUCAUGUGUAAUGUCUCUUCUAAAAACUCAUUUAAUUAUAUACUCUUACUUCUAUGUGACCUUCAUCAUUAUAUGUUCCCUUUUUUCUUCAAGUAUUCUAAAGCCAAUUGGUCUACCGCAUUCUACGCGUGCAUUAGACUGAUUACUUUAGUGUCCUAUCAUAUCAAGAUCAUGAACCGAAUGCUUGCACGGAAAUGAUAGAGGCACUAGGAUUAAACCUUUGUUUUCAAGCCUUUUUGUUUUUUGUUAUUUUAUCCACUACCUUAACAUGAUCCUUUAGUAGCCACCAUUGAGCCUUUACCAAAUCAUUUGUUAAAACCCACUUACACUACCCGUUUAGCCUUAAGCCUUUCCUAUUUUAAAACCUUGUGUGGUGAAAUCCGGGUAAAAUUAGGUCUAGAAGUUUAGUUAAAGAUAUGAAGAAAAAAAGAGAAAGAUAUUAGGUAAAAAUGUCUGAAACGAACCAAAAAAAAAAAAAAAAACUAGCAAAAGCAAAGAAAAGAGUAGCGUUAUGUGCAUGGGUCACAUUGAUCCAAAGUUUAGCGCCCGUGUGCUUAGAUUGUUUAUAUAGCCUAACUACUUGGAUAUUCACCACUUUAGCCAUUUUUGUCUAUAUUACUUUACCAUAUCCUUAACCUUAGCCAAAUUACAACCCAAUAAGUUCUCUUGAUCCGCAUAUUGUGUUUGUGUUAUUUGGUGGCGAUUUGAUUGCUAUAAAAGCUUAUGGUAAUGAUAUGCAUAUUGGUUUUGAGCAUUAACAUAUAUACUAAUACAUCUUAACUAGUCCGUAAAUAUACCAAGAGGUGUGAUUAAUUGUGGUGUGAUUAAUUGUGAGGAGUGUGGAUGCAUGUAGACUAGAGACCUGAAGUAUGUUAGGCUUGGUCAGGCUGUGUCUUGUUUAUAUCAAUAUAAAUUGCUUGUUGGAUUAUAAAUAUGUAUGUCUUAAGAAUUAGGCAUGACUUUGGACCUUAACUCAAAUAUGGUAAAGAGACGUUUUGAUGCGUUUGUCUAAUUAUUGUCAUAGUGUUACAAGAGAGUUUGCUUGUGGGCAAGUAUAACAUAAGUAUGGGGAUGCUGAUGAGUUAUGAUUGGAUGGUCUAAUUUGUCAUGGUUUUAUAUGUUUUUACUAGGAAUUAUGCUUGGAUAUGGUUGCUUUGUCUAUUUUAUAAUUGCGCAGGUUUGUAGUUAAGAUAUCACGAGUGGUGGAAGCUUUACGUUUGCACGAGGAUAGAAACAAGACAAGAAAGAAUAUGGACGUAGCCAUACUUCCAUGGGUGUAUCCCUACUCUCACUCUAUAUUGAUUUCUGGGCGUAUUCCAGCUGAAAACAUAGUUUCUGAAUGCAGCCAGAGUAUCAGUACACCUACCAGAGUACCAAUACGCCGAACCUGCAGUUACCAACGGUUUUAGGCAAUUCCAGGACAAGUUAUAAUGCCAAAAACGUGAAAAUACAUCACGCAACAUCUAGGGGAGCAAAGGAAUGAAGAGGAUGCUUAGGAACUUUAGUGACAAAGUAUCCUUUCAUCCGGUUAAUACUUUUCGCUUCCCGAAUUCACACUCCAUCAUCAAUUCCCAUCAUCAUGAUUAGUUAGAUCUUCCAUGGUUGCAUCCUUGGCAUAACUGGGAGCCAAAUGGCCUUGUGAGAUGGUCGGACACACUACACCACCCUCUCAAUCUUCCACACCCCUUGGCAGCCUUUGGGUGCCCGCCCCGAUCAUCACAAGCAUCUUCCUCUCUCUAUUACUCUCUUUUCUCUUUCGUUUAAUUUUAACUAGUCAUAAGCCCUCUGCAUUGCAGUGCGGGGGCAUAAAACCAUGAUACCUACGUUGUAGGGCGGAGGGUCAUAACCAUGCUAAGUAGCAAUCGAACAAAGCCAAGACCUGGAAAAAGCGUAAAAUAAAUACAUGAAUUUUCAACACCAAGUCGAGGGGGUAGAAAAACCCGAGAAACCAAAUGUGACUACCAAAUACCAUGCUAAAGUAGCAACCGAACGGCAAAAAAACCAUGAGGGGUCAAAUGUGACCGUCAAACACUAUGCAAAGUAACAACUAAACAACGAUCAAAUCUAGAGAAAAGCAUAAAACAAAAACUAAUAAAAAAACUAAACUCAUUAAUCUUUUGUGACAAAAUUAAAAAAAAAAAAACUAUACAAAAUGGAAAAUCUUAAAAAUUACCAUGCAAAAAAAAAAAAAACUCACAAAAAAGACAAAAUAAACUUCACUAUUCCUUCAUUUGUCAUGAAUUAAUUAGGGUAAAUUACUUUUUGAGUCCCUGUGUUAUGAAGUUUUAACCACUUGAGUUCAAAAUCAGAAUGUUUAAUGCCGUGUGUCCCUAUAGCCACAUCUUUUUAACCAUUUGAGUCCAAAUUUCUAACACUGUUAGAAUUUUUUGAAUAAGUAUUGUUAAAUGAACAAAAUACCCUUAUAGUUAAAAAAUAAAAAAAAUAAAUUAUUAUCAGCAAACAGUGAGAUCAAACAUUCAAACACACUAAAAACUAACAAACGCAUCAAUAGCCGAAUACUGCACCUGAACCGAAGUAAGACACUUGUUAUCCUAGCCACUCAUUGUAACCCCCUUCACAAACACUCCAGUGGUUUCCGACGCACAGUUGGAGGGUGGCGACAGGGUUUUGGAGGUUUGGGGUUUGGUUGGGACGCCACUCGACGUCGAGGCCCACGAUGAGGGAGUGGAGAUGGGGGCGAUAGGUGUGCUAGAUUGUGGAGAUCCAUGUGUCCACGUAGGAUGGUGUGUCGGUGACUAGGGUUUCGAUGGUGUUGUUGAAGAAUGUGAGGCGGUAGACGUUGUGGGUGUUGUUGGGGUGGUUGUGAAUGAACUGUCUGAUCGACGUCACCAUUGUGGUGGUUUUUGUGGAGGCGAGUGGUGGUGGGUGUUAAAAGGGUUUUGAAGAAUGGAAUAUGAGAGGACCAAAUUUUGUACAAAUCCAAUAUAUUAAAUUAAAAAGCCAAAUAAGCGUCAACAAAUUUUGUACAAAUCCAAUAUAUUAAAUUAAAAAAUGUUGGAGGUUUGUGGUUGUGGUUGAUAACGAAGGUGGUUGUGGCUAUGGUGGUGACAGUGGUGGGGGAUGCAGGUGGUCUAGAGAGAAAAAGAAAGAUGAGAGAGAGAUAAAGGGUGUUGAUUUAGAGAGAAAGAGAAAGAGAUGAGAGAAAGAUAUAUAAGAGAGAGAAAUCUAAUAAUAAUUUAUUUUUAUUUUUUUUAAUUAUAAGGGUAUUUUGGUCAUUUAACAAUACUUAACCAAAAAAUUCUAACAGUGUUAGAAAUUUGAACUCAAAUGGUUAAGAAAAGUGACUAUAGGGACUUAGGGCGUUAAAUAUUUUGAUUUUGGACUCAAAUGGUUAAAACUUAAAACACAUAGACUCAAAAAGUAAUUUACCCAAUUAAUUAAUAUAUGGAUAAUUAUUUGAAAUGUUUAUAAUAAUAUAAAAACAGGAUGUGGAGUCAAGAAGGAGUAUAAUAUAAGUUUUAGGAUGAAGGUCAGAAAUGUGAGAAGAUAAAUAUUAGGGCUGGCAAUUGGGUACCUGUUAAGAUAUGAUUAGACCUGUUUAACUGAAAAAUACAUCCUUUGACUUUUUUAAUUUUUAAAAUAAUUAAAAUUACAAUGUUAGGAUCUAUCAUUUAUUCAUUUUUGUACAUAAAAUAUAAAACUGUUUUAUAAACAUGAGGUAGAAAGUAGUUAAACGAGUCGUAAUCAUGUUUGAAACUUAUGUUGUGCGCACCGUCAGAAACCUGUUAAACCUGUUAAGACAUGAUUUGCCAUCCUUAGAAGAUAUUGAUGUUACACUAGGAAGAGGUAGGCCUAAUACUAAAACGUAAUGAUGCUUUAAAGUUAUCGUUAAAUAUAACAAAUUUAAAUAUGUUUCUACUCUUGAAUGUAAACCCACAUUCUUUUUGCUUUUAACAUUAAGAAAUAUAAAGCUAAUGAUCUCUAGAUCUAGUGGUGGAGAACUUGCAUUUCUUUUGACAGGGCCGGCCUUGGGCAUAUGCGAGAGGUGCUACCGCACAGAGCCCAAAUAUAUUAGGGGCCUAAAAUUGUUUAAAAAUAUGUUUAUAUUUUAUAUAUAAAUUUAUAGUAGAAAAAUAUUAAACAAAAUGAUUCUUUGACCCACUGGAUUCCUCGCUUGAUGUUGUUACUACAGGUCUCCUGAUCGAUUCUCAUUAAUUGCAGUUUGGAUUUUUUUUUUCUUUUUUGGGGUUUCCUUCAUGUAUUGUUUGGGCCUAAGUGGCUGAUUCAGCUUACUCAUUUUUACACAUUUUCUUGUUUAAGUUUCUAAGUCUUUUUUUUUUCAAUUAUUAUUUCUCAUUUAACUAUUUAUAGUUUAAAGUAUUAGAAUCCAAUUUUUAGUUUUAUUUUUUUUAUUUGCAUAUGAAAAGAUUUGUGUCACCAAACUAACUUGGAUAUGUUAACACAUUAAAGUUAUUUUUGCUGAAAGGAUUUAAAUGUUAGUUAUUUUUGUUUGUGUAGAGGGUGUUGAAAUUGUUACACAAAAACUUGAAUUUAUUGUUUUUUAAUUCAUGCUAAUUUGAGUUAUGUAUUGACUCUUUGAACAUGGAUAAUUGUGUUAACUGAUAAGCUUUCUUAACAAUUUUGAAACUAGCUGUGCUUAACUUCAUACGGAUUUUUUGGAUAAUACUCGAAACCUAUAUUUUGAUUAAAGCAUGUGAUGUGUAUAUUAAAAUUUUGGUUGUUGAUCAUGGAAUUUGAGAUAUAGAAAAUGUGGUUGGAUCCUGACAACUAAUCCAUUGGUCAAAUACAAAUGGAGAACCUCAUGAUUCGUUUAACUAUUUAACACAGAUCAUUUUGCUACAUUAGCUUAUUAUUAUUAUUAUUAUUAUUAUUAUUUGUUUAUAUUCAGGGGCCCAAUUUUUUCUAAUCGCACGGGGCCCAAAAAUUAUUAAGGAUUUUCGGAGACGGCCCUGUCUCUUGAGAGAUGCAAGUUCGACUCCUACUUGGUGCAGAGUGAGGCACUGGUGGGCAGUGAUAGGAGACGCAGGAAAACUGGGUUGGAUUCUUGAGCCAACGGAUUUUACCGGUAAUUUUACUGUCGUGUCUACGGGCGGGUGGGUUACCGGGUUUUCCCCGGAAUUGGUGGUGGACUCGAGUUACUCUCGGAGUACUCCGUUUGUCCAGUGGGUGUCCCGAGUGUGCUCGGGAUUGAGUUUGUCGGCCGUUAAAAAAAAACAUUAAGAAAUAUAGAAAAAGAAAAAAAAACAAGGAAAAAAUAAAAGAAAAAUAUUUGAUCAAUUUUGACCAACAUGUAUAUGAGGCAAUAUCUCAAGACCCUGAGUUGCUUCUUCAAUCGCCUCCUUGGAGUACACAAGUUUAAGAAAACCAUCAUGCAUUAAUUAUUAAUUAUUAUUAAAAAAAAGUAAGAAUACUCUAAACGUAAAAUCCACGAAUAAUCUAAUAUUUUUACAAUGCAGCUAUGACAAGUUGUAUUCAUUUGGAUAAUUAUCUUUACAUUUUUAUUUAUUUUUGCAUGUUUCACACGUUGAAUACUAGGAGUUAUAUUAUUUUGAUUGUUAUUGGAAUCAACAAGUUGUAUUCAUAUGGAUAAUUAUCUUUACAUUUUUAUUUAUUUUUGUUUGUUUCACACAUUGAAUACUAAGAGUUGUAUUAUUUUGAUUGUUAUUAGAGCUAGGUCUGUAAACGAAUCGAACGUUUACGAACUGUUCCUGAACUUGUUCGGCGGAAAGUUCAUUUAUGUUCGUUUAUUAAUAAACGAACGAACACGAACAAAAAUUUGUGUUCGUUUAAUUAAAUGAACGAACAUGAACACACCUUGUGUUCGUUCGUUUAUGUUCGUUUAUUUACGUUCGUUUAUGUUCGCUUAAAUUUUAGUAAAUACAUAAAUAGUUAUAUUUAUAUAAAUAUUAGGUUUUCUAACUAAUUAUAUAAAUAUAACUAACUAGUAAUUGAGUUUUCUAGUAAUAAAAAAUGAAAUUUUAAAAUUUUUCUUAUAGCGUAACUGAUCACUUAAUAUUUAUAUAAAAACUACGUAAUUUCAGUAUCUAUGAACCCUAAUUUAAAUGUGUUUUCGGAUGAACUGUAAUAUAUUAGACUUGUUUGUGUUAACUAAUGUUAAAUUAUGUUUGUUUAUAUUUGUUCAAUUUAGUUCAUUUAUGUCCGUCUAUGUUUGUUCAAUCGUGUUAAUUUAUGUUUAUUCAAAUAUGUUCGGUUAACUUUUUUGUUUAUGUUCGUAUAUGUUCGUUUAUGUUUGUGAACUGUUCAUUUCGGCUUUAAACGAACGAACAUAAACGAAUACGAACAUGCCUGAUUUCUUAAUGAACGAACAUGAACAAAAAAAAUGUGUUCGAUUAUAUGUUCAUGUUCGUGUUCGGUUAAAGUUAAAUGAACGAAUACAAACAUGCCUAUGUUCGUGUUCAAUCGGUUCAUUUAUAGGCCUAAUUAGAGCAUAGUGUAGAUGAUUAUUAGUUUUGAAAAUAUAGUAGAACUUGAUAUAUUGUAACCAUUUACAAUUUGAUUAUCUAUGUAUUAUGAUUCAUUUAAUAUUUGUAAUAACGACGUCCAUUAGCGCAAUAUAGCUAAACCCAGUUAAAACGUUAAUUUUUAUAAUAAAAAAUAACAAGAAAAUACUUCUUGUUAUGAAUGUAGACAUUCAGCCCCAUAGGCCAAGCCUGACCUAAUGUUAAUGGGCUUUAGGGUUGUUGUUGUAUUGAUCUAUAUAUAUGAUAUAUGUACAUGAAAUACUGCAGAAUAAAAUCUCUUUCUUAUGUUUGCUCUCUUGUUUAUAACAUGUUAUCAACACGAUUGCUCUCUUACAUCAGUUUUUUUUAUCUCAUUCUUUUUCACAAAAUUAUCAUGGGAGAUCCUUGACAAUCUUUCGAAGAUCCUUUUUGGUUAUUGCUAGCAUUGUGAAAAAUCAAGCGAGGACCGUAGAUAAAAACCGAAGGAGAGUUACUAGGAUAGGUGAUGGUUGUAAUGGCUACGUUGCAGUCACAACUCACAAUCUCCAAAAACUAUGGCAUUUGCCCACUGUGAUAGACACCGAAUUCUUCCGUUUUUCCUUUUUAGUCGACAACCAGGUAACAACUAAUUCCCUUUUAAUAAUAUAUAUUCUGAUCAUAGCACAAGCUAGGUAGUAGCUAAGUUUUAAAUGAAAAUAUAAUGCUGGGUUUCUGACCGUAAAUUUAAAUGGUGGUCGGAGAUCUGUUAUAGAUCUCGAUUAAAACCUACUCAAUCAAUUGGUAUGUUACCUUCCAUUGUGAAUUCGAUCAUGUGAUGCAACAUCCAAAAUUUUUUUAUGGUAACACGGUCGGUUGUUCCUGAGGGCUUAAGAAAAUGGAGUGGCCUGUAACCGUAACAGCCGGCAAGAUUUUCGUCUUUUAUUGAUUUUCCUUCGAACGGUUUUUCCUUAAUUUUUCCCUGAUGAUAAUGGAAAAAAAAUCAAAUAACCGUUGGCGCAACUUUUUAGCAACCGAGAUUAUUAAUUUAAACUUAAUACAUUAUAUUUUUUUUCAUUACAUGAGUCAUGCAUUAACAUGGGGAAUUGAAUAAAUUAAUGCUCUCACGUAACUUAACUAAAAAUGAUAUAAAACCCAAUGAUAUUCAUGACGGUUUUUUUUACAAACGUUACUUUCUGUUGGUUGGAUUUGAUGAGACCAACAAUGUAACUAUACACAAUUAAUUAAUUAAUUAAUCAAUUAAAUGACACCUUCAUUAAUAAGUUAAUUUUAUAAAACAAUGUAACUAUACACAAUUAAUUAAUUAAUUAAUCCAUUUUAAUAAAGGUAGUUGACCCAAAACCGAUAACACACCAGCCCGUUAUAACAACCAAGUCUGCCUUUCCUGCAUCACCUAACUUGGUUAAUAUAUAACGAGAAUACCUAUUCAACGAGUUAAUCCAAUACCACUACAAAUGUUGAUAAUCACUAAAAUUACCAACACUUUCUUCAAUCCUCGGAAAUUCAAUUGUUUUUUAUCUUGACAUGACAAGCAAAUUAAUAUGAGCUUAAUCUCUUUAACACUCACACACACAUAUAUGUAUACGUAUAUUGUCCUAGGAUUGUGUGAUUUAUAUAUGUAAUUGAUAUGCAUAUAAAUUGUGAAUAAUUAACAUGCAUAUAACUUGCUUAUGGGUAGAUAUUACGGAUUUCAUUUGUUUAGCAAUACUUCUGUUGGUCUCAUUGUUUUAGAUAGCAUAUAUGUUAUAUGUAUUGCCUUUUGACAAGUUAAAUGUGCUAAACAAAUUAAUACAAAUUUCAUUGGUAGCUGGUUACCAAACAACUACUCUGAGAUAAACAUUGUUAUGCUUUAGUGAUUUGAUAUUUCAGCUUGUUACAAUGCUAUGCAUAGUCAACAUAAUUAAUUGUAUGGUUAUUCUUCUAAUUGCUUGUUGUUGCUAAACAAAUAUUAAUAGACAUUGAUAUAGUCAUUAGAAAUGUGCCAUCACAUGAAAAUGAUGAAAAAUAGCUAUGAAAAUAAUUAGUGGACUUUAGCUUAAGUAAACUACUCUGAUGUUAGUUACUUAAAUUGAUAGAUAAUAAUUCAUUUGAGUUAGUGUUGAUGCUCAUUUAUACUGAAUUUCACAUGAAUCCUAAAUCAAUGUUGAGAACCCGAAGUUCUCCCAAAUGUAUACAAAGUCCCGUUUGUUUUAAUAAUGAUUUUUCAAGUUCAACCCAAACUUUAGUUCAUUGCACUUGGCGUUUUUUACUAACAUAUAGCCUAGUGAUGGAAAACCUUAUGAAUAGGACAUGUUUUCCCUCUAAACAAAGGCUAAAACUAUAACAUGUCUCCUCCAUGACGUAUUCUAGACGUGUGAAGAUACCCGAUCGACAUGUUUGACCACCAGAAGUUAGUCAUCUUUUGAAAAGCUUGCUAUAAAUCUUCUCGAAAUGCUCCUGAUGCAGCAAUACCGAGAAUGGGAUUUCACAAAACGCUCGGAUGUAAAUGUUUUAAUUUGUUAAUGUCACCAGAGGAGCAAAGGAUUAUCGGCCGCAGUAUAGGCCUUACGUGUGGAUGAUCAUGAAAAAAAAAACUGACAUCUAUGGCCCAAACAUAUGCAAAUCUAGAAGCUCCAAUAGAGCGAUCACAAAUUGAGGUGGCAAAUGUCUGAUACACAUCACAACUAACACUGUCACAAACAUAAGUAAUAUAAUUUUUAGUUAUCUUGGUAGAGACGAUAUUGAUACUAUUUCACGUGUUAAUAACAUAUUAAAUGCUCCAGAAGAGCAUCGAUAGUUUACCCGCUGAUAUCGAAUUUUGUAAUUCAUAAUGCAUCAUAUUCUAAUGUAUACCGAAGAAAUUUAUUAAGUU